rnacentral:lncRNA from 1 species
AAAUCAGCAAGUAAUUCAUCUUAUCUCCACUCAGGCCAAAUAUCAUACCACACGAGCAAGUAAUUCAUCUUAUCUCCCAUCAAGUCAAAUAUCGUAACAAACCAGCAAGCAAUGCAUCUUGUAGUUACCUCGUACCCUUUGUGCUGACAAACUGAAGACUAUCGGACACUUACAUCUCCACCACACCAAACCUAAUCAGAGAAUAGAUAGGCAAGGGCGCCAAACCUCCAAACGCCCACUUAUGGAAGGUAAGGUUGGUGUUGAAGAACUUGGGAUGCACACAGACCGACGCGGUUGUGCCGCAGUGUCUUCAAUAGUCGGAGCUGUGCGCCACGCUACCC